rnacentral:lncRNA from 1 species
UUCUUCAAAGUGAAUCUUCUCUUCAAAACAUUGCGAUCAACUCUUCAAGACUCCAUUCGACUUCACGAAAUUCGCCUACCUAGAAAAUCCUUAACAAUCUCCCCCUUUGGCGAAUUCGUGACAAAACAUAAUACAACGCUCGAACACAACUCAAAAACAAGAAAAAGAGAUCAUCGCAAUCACCAAACGAUAAUCUUUUGCAUAAUCGAUCCAACAAAGAAAAAUUACAUUUUUCUCACAAUUCUAAUACAAACUCUAUGACUUAGACAUGGAGUCUUGAAGUCUUAAACAUUCCUGCAAAAAUAUUCUUAAAACACAAUCAAGAUUCAAGAAAACUUAUCAUAUCAAAAGAUCAAACAUAACAUAGUCAGUCAUAGUUCAUCUAAGUACAUCCACAAAG